rnacentral:rRNA from 1 species
CCUACGGGAGGCAGCAGUGGGGAAUAUUGGACAAUGGGCGAAAGCCUGAUCCAGCCAUGCCGCGUGUGUGAAGAAGGCCUUCGGGUUGUAAAGCACUUUCAGUGGGGAAGAAAGCCUUGGGGCUAAUACCCUCGAGGAAGGACAUCACCCACAGAAGAAGCACCGGCUAACUCCGUGCCAGCAGCCGCGGUAAUACGGAGGGUGCGAGCGUUAAUCGGAAUUACUGGGCGUAAAGCGCGCGUAGGCGGUCUGAUAAGCCGGUUGUGAAAGCCCCGGGCUCAACCUGGGAACGGCACCCGGAACUGUCAGGCUAGAGUGCAGGAGAGGAAGGUAGAAUUCCCGGUGUAGCGGUGAAAUGCGUAGAGAUCGGGAGGAAUACCAGUGGCGAAGGCGGCCUUCUGGACUGACACUGACGCUGAGGUGCGAAAGCGUGGGUAGCAAACAGGAUUAGAUACCCUAGUAGUC